rnacentral:rRNA from 1 species
GACGAACGCUGGCGGCGUGCUUAACACAUGCAAGUCGAACGGAAAGGCCCUGCUUUUGUGGGGUGCUCGAGUGGCGAACGGGUGAGUAACACGUGAGUAACCUGCCCUUGACUUUGGGAUAACUUCAGGUAACUGGGGCUAAUACCGGAUAGGAGCUCCUGCUGCAUGGUGGGGGUUGGAAAUUUUCGGCGGGUGGGGCUGGAUUCGCGGCUUAUCAGCUUGUUGGUGGGGUAGUGGCUUACCAAGGCUUUGACGGGUAGCCGGCAUGGGAGGGUGAACGGCCACAUUAGUACUGAGAUACGGCGCAGACUCCUACGUGAGGCAGCAGGGGGGAAUAUUGCACAAUGGGCGGGAGCCUGAUGCAGCAGCGCCCCGUGCGGGAUGACGGCCUUCGGGUUGUAAACCGCAUUCGCCUGUGACGAAGCGUGAGUGACGGUAAUGGGUAAAGAAGCACCGGCUAACUACGUG